AUUUGGAAAAAAAAAAAGUAGAAAUGUUAGUUGAGCAUGUCUUCGCAAUAAACAUUUGAGCGGAAAGUUUAUUUUCCAAAAUACACAAAAACAGAAUAUGAACGAAAUAACUAAAUGAUUUGAUCUGUAGACUUGCCAAGAAAUUCUAAAAUAAAAAAGCAAUGAAGAAAUUGUUCUCAUAACAUUUUGCAACAUUUUGGUCCAAAUAAAAACAUUAUUGAGAGAAUAAACGAGAGGGAGAACUGUUUUGUUUUUUUUUAAAUCAAAAUAUUUCUCAAGUAUUUCUCAUGUUUUAUCAAUAAUCAUACAAGAAAUCAUAUUAAGGAAAACAUUUCAACGCAUUUUUUACUGUGCAAUCAAGUCACGAAACUAAAUGGAAGCAAGAGUUGUUUAAUUGACAAGAAUAUAUACAACAAACACGCAAAGACUUUGAAGUAACGCGAGGACUCUAGGAGUACUAUUUUUUUGUUCAAAUCCAUUUUUUUUUUCUUUUUCAGAACUGUCAAAAAUGUUUUGAGACUCUCAACAUGGUCCGUUUUAGGCCUCUAUAGUUGACAAUGGGUGCUCUAUAGAUUCCUCAUAGUUCGUUGUAGGCCUCUAUAGUUGAUACUCUCAACAUGGUCUGUUGAAGGCCUCUAGAGUUGACAGUGGAUGCUCUAUAGAGUCCGUUUUAGGCCUCUAUAGUUGACAAUGGGGGCUUUAUAGAUUCCUCAUAGUUUGUUGUAGGCCUCUAUAGUUGAUAGUGGAUUUUCUAUAUAGUCCGUUGUAGGCCUCU